rnacentral:misc_RNA from 1 species
UCGCCCAGAUCAAUCUCUUCAUAUAAAUAACUGGUAAAACUUUAUCUGAUUUCGGAAGUAUCGAUCAAUCAAACACCGUCCAAAUAUCGUGGUCGAUCUCGUUUUGGUUCGACCCUUUUAUACAUCUUUUAGACUCUAACGUUAGAACCCAAAAUAUCUACAUUUUAAUAUAUCUUUUGAUGGCAUGUGCACGCACUUGUAAAAAUGGAGAAGAGAAUUUCUGUUUUUUUUUCUCUCUCUAUUCCCCACAGCCUUCCUUCGUUCCUUGACCAUACAUCGAGCACGGGAUUUUUCUAGCCGCUCUCUCCAUCUGAUAUUUUCCAUCGAUUUUAUCCACACCAGCCUCUACUCAUUCCGAGAAAAUGUUGUCUCUGGAAAGAAUUUCUUUACACAGCCGUCGUCUUGGGUUCUUCAGGAAGCUAUCACUCAGCUGAUUUUUAUCUCUCGUACGUUCUGCCAGGGAGAAGAUUUUUCUUCCAUGGCCCUGGAUUUUUCAGCGCUCAGCGUCUUCCUCUGCCGCACGCCGGCAGCAGUUCUCCUCCCUCAAGCUCGCCGGCGUUAUCCUCUGCGCCGCUUUGGCUUACAAAAAUCCUGGCUGCCGGUGUUUAUCUCCUCACGGCGCCGCCCCUGGGACUCUUCAAAUACCCUGCCGUGCUCUCUCUCUUCUCUGUUCCUCUCGUUCCCUGACGAGCUGCCAUGGCGUCCUCGUCUGUCGCGGUAUCCCGGCUCCUCGCCCAGGACGGCACUCGGCCCUGCCCCUGCCCCAGCUUCCUGCGCGCCAUGGCGAUUUCUUCAAGCUCUCUCCAGCGCCGCUUCUUUUCCCCAACCGCGCCACGCGGCCUGUCUCCCUGUGCGCUCGAUUCAGUUCGUUUCCUCCCUGGACGCGCGCUCUGCAGCUUGCCGGAGCACCCUGCGUCGCGCCCGGGUGCUUUGCUUCUUGCUCGCCGUUCCAACUUCUCCUGCCAUGGAGCUCGCCGAGCCCUCCCCAGCCGUUCCUCCUCCUGUAGCUCGCCCCUGCGCGUGCGUCUUCUCGCGUCGUCCCUGCGUCGCGCGCGCGUUCCUUCCUGUGCGCGCCAGCAGCCGCGUCUCUCCGGUGUUUCCUCCCUGCGUGCGUGAAAUUUCCUUGCUCGCUGGGGC